AUGGUAUGGCCCUUAAUUGAACUCACCAAUUACCACUUGCAUUGUUGCAUUGCUUCUGCUUUUCGGUUGACAAUCAAAAUCUACACCCACCAGGUUUGAAUGAACUCCACUGUUGCUAAACAAAGCUUUCAAUGACCGAUGAUACUUCAUAAACCGAAACGGGGUUAGAGGACAGCGAAGCAACAAAAGCCCAAUUGGCUGCAACGAAAGCACAAUUGGCCGAAUUCUCAAACAAGCUUGAAGCUGCCUUUAAUGUUUCUGUGGACAAACUUCAAAGCUUUGUGAUAUGUUGGUUGGCGAAGAACAAGGAACCGCGAAGAGAGUGCAUAUUAAGACCACAUUACAUCUUGGGUAUGCCACCGGCCAUCAACGAGGUUCUAGAAAACUCAUUGGUGGACACAUCUUGCUU
rnacentral:lncRNA from 1 species